GACGAACGCUGGCGGCGUGCUUAACACAUGCAAGUCGAACGGAAAGGCCCUGCUUUUGUGGGGUGCUCGAGUGGCGAACGGGUGAGUAACACGUGAGUAACCUGCCCUUGACUUUGGGAUAACUUCAGGAAACUGGGGCUAAUACCGGAUAGGAGCUCCUGCUGCAUGGUGGGGGUUGGAAAGUUUCGGCGGUUGGGGAUGGACUCGCGGCUUAUCAGCUUGUUGGUGGGGUAGUGGCUUACCAAGGCUUUGACGGGUAGCCGGCCUGAGAGGGUGACCGGCCACAGUGGGACGGAGAUACGGCCCAGACUCCUACGGGAGGCAGCGGUGGGGAAUAUGGCACAAGGGGCGGAAGCCUGAGGCAGCAACGCCGCGUGCGGGAGGACGGCCUUCGGGUUGUAAACCGCUUUCGCCUGUGACGAAGCGUGAGUGACGGUAAUGGGUAAAGAAGCACCGGCUAACUACGU
rnacentral:rRNA from 1 species